rnacentral:rRNA from 1 species
CAGGCUGCAACUCGCCUGCAUGAAGUCGGAAUUGCUGUAAUCGCGGAUCAGCAUGCCGCGGUGAAUACGUUCCCGGGCCUUGUACACACCGCCCGUCACACCAUGAGAGCCGGUAACACCCGAAGUCAAUAGUCUAACCGCAAGGAGGACAUUGCCGAAGGUGGGAUUGGUAAUUGGGGUGAAGUCGUAACAAGGUACC